rnacentral:rRNA from 1 species
AACCGUGUACGUACAAGCAGUGGGAGCACGCUUAGGCGUGUGACUGCGUACCUUUUGUAUAAUGGGUCAGCGACUUAUAUUCUGUAGCAAGGUUAACCGAAUAGGGGAGCCGAAGGGAAACCGAGUCUUAACUGGGCGUUAAGUUGCAGGGUAUAGACCCGAAACCCGGUGAUCUAGCCAUGGGCAGGUUGAAGGUUGGGUAACACUAACUGGAGGACCGAACCGACUAAUGUUGAAAAAUUAGCGGAUGACUUGUGGCUGGGGGUGAAAGGCCAAUCAAACCGGGAGAUAGCUGGUUCUCCCCGAAAGCUAUUUAGGUAGCGCCUCGUGAAUUCAUCUCCGGGGGUAGAGCACUGUUUCGGCAAGGGGGUCAUCCCGACUUACCAACCCGAUGCAAACUGCGAAUACCGGAGAAUGUUAUCACGGGAGACACACGGCGGGUGCUAACGUCCGUCGUGAAGAGGGAAACAACCCAGACCGCCAGCUAAGGUCCCAAAGUCAUGGUUAAGUGGGAAACGAUGUGGGAAGGCCCAGACAGCCAGGAUGUUGGCUUAGAAGCAGCCAUCAUUUAAAGAAAGCGUAAUAGCUCACUGGUCGAGUCGGCCUGCGCGGAAGAUGUAACGGGGCUAAACCAUGCACCGAAGCUGCGGCAGCGACGCUGAUGCGUUGUUGGGUAGGGGAGCGUUCUGUAAGCCUGCGAAGGUGUGCUGUGAGGCAUGCUGGAGGUAUCAGAAGUGCGAAUGCUGACAUAAGUAACGAUAAAGCGGGUGAAAAGCCCGCUCGCCGGAAGACCAAGGGUUCCUGUCCAACGUUAAUCGGGGCAGGGUGAGUCGACCCCUAAGGCGAGGCCGAAAGGCGUAGUCGAUGGGAAACAGGUUAAUAUUCCUGUACUUGGUGUUACUGCGAAGGGGGGACGGAGAAGGCUAUGUUGGCCGGGCGACGGUUGUCCCGGUUUAAGCGUGUAGGCUGGUUUUCCAGGCAAAUCCGGAAAAUCAAGGCUGAGGCGUGAUGACGAGGCACUACGGUGCUGAAGCAACAAAUGCCCUGCUUCCAGGAAAAGCCUCUAAGCAUCAGGUAACAUCAAAUCGUACCCCAAACCGACACAGGUGGUCAGGUAGAGAAUACCAAGGCGCUUGAGAGAACUCGGGUGAAGGAACUAGGCAAAAUGGUGCCGUAACUUCGGGAGAA